GUGCUCGCUUUGGCAGCACAUAUACUAAAACUGAAACGAUACAGAGAAGAUUAGCAUGGCCCCUGUUGCAGGGAUGACAUGCAAAUUUUUGAAGCAUUCCAUAUUUUU
ensembl:snRNA U6 U6 spliceosomal RNA